rnacentral:rRNA from 1 species
AGUGGCGUACGGGUGAGUAACACGUGACUAACCUACCCUCGAGUGGGGAAUAACUUCGGGAAACCGAGGCUAAUACCGCAUAACAUCUACGGAUCAAAUGCGCAAGCAGCUUGAGGAGGGGGUCGCGGCUGAUUAGCUAGUUGGCGGGGUAACGGCCCACCAAGGCAAUGAUCAGUAGCCGGCCUGAGAGGGCGCACGGCCACACUGGAACUGAAACACGGUCCAGACUCCUACGGGAGGCAGCAGUGGGGAAUUUUGCGCAAUGGGGGAAACCCUGACGCAGCAACGCCGCGUGGAGGAUGAAGCCCCUUGGGGUGUAAACUCCUUUCGAUCGGGACGAUUAUGACGGUACCGGAUGAAGAAGCACCGGCUAACUCUGUGCCAGCAGCCGCGGUAAUACAGAGGGUGCAAGCGUUGUUCGGAAUUAUUGGGCGUAAAGGGUGCGUAGGCGGUGCGGUAAGUCUUCUGUGAAACCUCCGGGCUUAACUCGGAGCCUGCAGAGGA